rfam:Planktothrix agardhii NIVA-CYA 126/8 chromosome, whole genome shotgun sequence.
AGGAGCCGUGUGCGGUGAAAGUCGCAAGCACGGUUUUGUAAGGGAGUUGGUGGCUGUAAAGCCUCCUUCGACCAACAU